CUACCUGUCAAAGGGGAGUAGCUAUAGGUUUCAUACCUAAACAAAGUCGUCAAUUCAUGGUGCAUGCCAUCGGCUUUGUUGGCAUAUCCGUAUGCU
rnacentral:sRNA from 2 species